rnacentral:rRNA from 14 species
AGGAGGUUGGCUUAGAAGCAGCCAUCCUUUAAAGAUAGCGUAAUAGCUCACUAGUCGAGUCGGCCUGCGCGGAAGAUGUAACGGGGCUCAAACUGGUCACCGAAGCUGCGGCUGCAUACUUUGUAUGCGGGGUAGGGGAGCGUUCUGUAAGCCUGCGAAGGUGUGUUGAGAAGCAUGCUGGAGGUAUCAGAAGUGCGAAUGCUGACAUGAGUAACGACAAUGCGGGUGAAAAACCCGCACGCCGGAAGACCAAGGGUUCCUGCGCAACGCUAAUCGGCGCAGGGUGAGUCGGCCCCUAAGGCGAGACCGAAAGGUGUAGUCGAUGGGAAACGGGUUAAUAUUCCCGUACCUUGGAUAGCUGCGAUGGAGAGACGGAGAAGGCUAGGUGAGCCGGGCGACGGUUGUCCCGGUUUAAGCGAGUAGGGAGUGGACUUAGGCAAAUCCGGGUCCACAAUCCCGAGACGUGACGACGACUGCUCAUAGAGCGGGAAGUCAUUGAUGCCAUGCUUCCAGGAAAAUCUUCUAAGCUUCAGGCUAUUCGAGACCGUACCCCAAACCGACACAGGUGGUCAGGUAGAGAAUACCAAGGCGCUUGAGAGAACUCGGGUAAAGGAACUAGGCAAAAUGGUGCCGUAACUUCGGGAGAAGGCACGCUGGCAGUAAGUGAAGCCCCUGCGGGUGGAGCUGAGACCAGUCGAAGAUACCAGGCCCCUGCGACUGUUUAUUAAAAACACAGCACUGUGCAAACACGAAAGUGGACGUAUACGGUGUGACGCCUGCCCGGUGCCGGAAGGUUAAAAGGAGAGGUGAGAGCUUUGAAUUGAAGCCCC